GCCUCCCAAAGUGCUGGGAUGACAGGCGUGAGCCACCAUGCCUGGCCGACAGUCACUUUUAGAAUGUCAACAGUGGAUGCUAGGAUGGGGUCUCCUACCUCUGCCUGUGACGUGCACCGGCCCCUCUAGUCAUG
rnacentral:lncRNA from 1 species